rnacentral:rRNA from 1 species
AUUGAACGCUGGCGGCAGGCCUAACACAUGCAAGUCGAGCGGAUCGCCGGACGGGUGCGUAAUGCCUAGGAAUCUGGCUGGUCGUGGGGGAUAACGUUCGGAAAUGGGCACUAAUACUGCUAACUAUCAGAUGAGACUAGGUCGGAUUAGCUAGGUGGUGGGGUAAAGGCCUACCAAGGCGACGAUCCGUAACUGGUCUGAGAGGAUGAUCAGUCACACUGGGACUGAGACACGGUCCAGACUCCUACGGGAGGCAGCAGUGGGGAAUAUUGGACAAUGGGCGAAAGCCUGAUGCAGCCAUGCCGCGUGUGUGAAGAAGGUCUUCGGAUUGUAAAGCACUUUAAGUUGGGAGGCGUUACCGACAGAAUAAGCACCGGCUAACUCCGUGCCAGCAGCCGCGGUAAUAC